rnacentral:sRNA from 1 species
GCCAGGCAUGGUGGCGCAUGCCUGUAAUCCCAGCGGCUCAGGAGGCGGAGGCAGGAGGAUCUCGAGUUCAAAGCCAGCCUCAGCAAUUUAGUGAGGCACUAAGCAACAAAGUGAGACCCUGUCUCUA